GCUGUCCCAAUCACUUUUCUAUUCUUUUUUUUUCCCUCAUUUUUGCGAGAAAGUUUUUUUUUUUUUAGUUCAAUCCCACAUCGGUUUGAGAUAGUGAUUAGUUUUUGAGAUGAGUUAGGACCGACCCAAAUUUAACAUGUGUCAGAGCCUCCCAUCCAAUGUUGAACCUUCCUUAAGUCCAAUGUUGAACCUUCCUUAAGUAUUUCACACUCUAGUUUAGUUCUGUGCAUGAGUGGUGUGUUGAAUCCAUAUUAAUUUGGGAAUAAAUGUGCUCUUAUAAGGGUUUUAGGGACUCGUCCUCAUCCUUGAGCUAGUUUUUGAGUGAAUUAGGUCUGACCCAAAUUUAACAUAGUAUCAUAGCCUCCCGUCAAUGUUGAGCCUUCCAUAAAUAUUUCACACUCCAGAGUAGUCUUGAAUGUGAAGGGAAAGUGUUAGAAUCCAUAUUGAUUUAGAAUAGGAUAAUGUGCCUUUAAAAAGAGUGGCCAAGAGCCCUUAAAAGGAGUGGCUAAGGCCCUUAGCCACUCCUCCCCUAAUCUACUCCUCCUUUGAACUAGUUUUUGGAAUGAGUUAAACCUAACCCAAAUUUAAAAUUUUUUUUAGGCCAAACCUCAAAGAUGUGAUGCACAUAACUCAUCUGAGAUGAGGCUAGAAACAAUUUAGGCCAAUAAUACAUAAAGAUAGAAGGAGAAAAUAAGGGAAGAGAGACAUUGAGGAC
rnacentral:lncRNA from 1 species